rnacentral:miRNA from 1 species
UCAUUGAUUGGAAGGGAGUCCUUCCAGUCAAUGAGUUACAGUUGCCUCAUCAAACUCCCUUCCGGUCAAUGAGGCAGCUGUAACUCAUUGACUGAAAGAAAUACCUUCUGUUUGAUGA